UACGGAGGGGGUUAGCGUUGUUCGGAAUUACUGGGCGUAAAGCGCACGUAGGCGGACUAGUAAGUUAGAGGUGAAAUCCCAGGGCUCAACCCUGGAACUGCCUUUAAAACUGCUAAUCUAGAGAUCGAGAGAGGUGAGUGGAAUUCCGAGUGUAGAGGUGAAAUUCGUAGAUAUUCGGAGGAACACCAGUGGCGAAGGCGGCUCACUGGCUCGAUACUGACGCUGAGGUGCGAAAGCGUGGGGAGCAAACAGG
rnacentral:rRNA from 1 species